GUAGGUGGCAAGCGUUGUCCGGAAUUAUUGGGCGUAAAGCGCGCGCAGGCGGUUCUUUAAGUCUGAUGUGAAAGCCCACGGCUCAACCGUGGGGGGUCAUUGGAAACUGGAGAACUUGAGUACAGAAGAGGAAAGCGGAAUUCCACGUGUAGCGGUGAAAUGCGUAGAGAUGUGGAGGAACACCAGUGGCGAAGGCGGCUUUCUGGUCUGUAACUGACGCUGAGGCGCGAAAGCGUGGGGAGCAAACAGGGAUUAGAUACCCUGGUAGUCCACGCCGUAAACGAUGAGUGCUAAGUGUUAGGGGGUUUCCGCCCCCUUAGUGCUGCAGCUAACGCAUUAAGCACUCCGCCUGGGGAGUACGGCCGCAAGGCCG
rnacentral:rRNA from 1 species